CCAGCAUUCAACAUGUACAGUAUCAGAAGGUGGACAACUUCUAAGUUUCCAAGAUCUAAAGACAAAGAACAGCCUCGAAAACAAAGACUUCUAUAGACACUUGCAGCUGAGAGAUUAUUCCCCAAAAGAGAUGAGGUCAAAUGAAACUAUAAAUAAGGUGAUUGGUGUUAUCAGCGAUUCACACAAACAUCUCUGCUUUCUAUCGAGCUUUGGGUGACAGCAGGAAGGAAUCAACACUUUAUAAAAAAGCAAAAAGGGAAGCAGAGCUAAAAAUCCAAAUACAAGAGGAGGAGUGGCACCACAUGUGUGAGACACAACGUACAACAACAAAUUCAUUCAUAUUGAGGGAGUUCUGCUGGAAAAACCUGACUCACUAUUUUAUAACAGCAAAGAUAUAAAUCUAGGCAUCUGGCUUCACAGCAGGACUGCUGGAGAUUAUGUGGGAGCGUGGAGGCAGACCAUGAACGCAUCUUCUGGAAGUGUAUAAAAAUGAGGAUAUACGGGCAAAAUGUUAACUCAGUCGUAAAAAAUGUCUUGGGAUGUGAAAUUCCAAACACAAGUGAUGAUUCUUGGGAAUAUUGAGAAGGUUGUAGUGAAAGAAGAUCUGUACUUGACUAAAGUGUUACUAGCAGAGAGUAAGACACAAGCAACUGGCUCAAUGUGAACGCUCCAAAACAGGAGCAGUGGUUAUGGAACGAUCAACUCAAAGAGGACGUAUGCUAAAUGCUAAUGCUAAAUGGAACAGUGGACUGAAUAGUAGCAUCUCCAGACAGUCUGUUAGUGUUAUUAUUGUUACUUUAACUUGUAUCUUCUUUGAUGUAUUGUUUUUGCCGACAUACAUGUGAAAACUCAAUAAAAAUUUAAGUU